AUUGAACGCUGGCGGCAGGCCUAACACAUGCAAGUCGAACGAGUGGCGGACGGGUGAGUAAUGUCUGGGAAACUGCCUGAUGGAGGGGGCUGACUACUGGAAACGGUAGCUAAUACCGCAUACCAUCAGAUGUGCCCAGAUGGGAUUAGCGUGUUGGUGGGGUAACGGCGAACCAAGGCGACGAUCCCCAGCUGGUCUGAGAGGCUGACCAGCCACAUUGGCACUGAGACACGGUCCAGACUCCUACGGGACGCAGCAGUGGUGAAUAUUGCACAAUGGGCGCAAGCCUGAUGCAGCCAUGCCGCGUGUAUGAAGAAGGCCUUCGGAUUGUAAAGUACUUUCAGCGGGGAGGCGUUACCCGCAUAAGAAGCACCGGCUAACUCCGUGCCAGCAGCCGCGGUAAUUC
rnacentral:rRNA from 1 species